CGGUGCCGGAAGGUUAAGAGGAUCCGUCAGCUUCUGCGAAGCGGUGAAUUCAAGCCCCGGUAAACGGCGGUGGUAACUAUAACCAUCCUAAGGUAGCGAAAUUCCUUGUCGGGUAAGUUCCGACCUGCACGAAUGGCGUAACGACUUCCCCACUGUCUCGACCAGGAGCUCGGCGAAAUUGCAGUACGAGUAAAGAUGCUCGUUAAGCGCAGAAGGACGAAAAGACCCCGGGACCUUUACUAUACCUUGGUAUUGGCAUUAGGCGCGGAUUGUGUAGCAUAGGCGGGAGGCUUCGAGGCGGGUGCGCCAGCAUCCGCGGAGCCGCAAGGUGAAAUACCGCUCUGUUCUCGUUUGAUGUCUAACCUCGAACAGUCAUCCUGUUCAGGGACAGUGCCUGGCGGGUAGUUCAACUGGGGCGGUUGCCUCCCAAAGAGUAACGGAGGCGCUCAAAGGUCCGCUCGGCCCGGUUGGCAAUCGGGUGUCGAGUGUAAUCGCACAAGCGGGCUUGACUGCGAGAUCGACGGAUCGAGCAGGGACGAAAGUCGGAGAUAGUGAUCCGGUGCCGGCGCACGGGCGCGGCAUCGCUCAACGGAUAAAAGGUACCCCGGGGAUAACAGGCUGAUCAUUCCCAAGAGUCCAUAUCGACGGGAUGGUUUGGCACCUCGAUGUCGGCUCGUCGCAUCCUGGGGCUGGAGCAGGUCCCAAGGGUUCGGCUGUUCGCCGAUCAAAGCGGCACGCGAGCUGGGUUCAGAACGUCGUGAGACAGUUUGGUCUCUAUCCUCUGCGCUCGUUGGAAUCUUGAGGAGGCCUGCCCAUAGUACGAGAGGACCUGGGUGGACGAACCUCUGGUAUGCCGGUCGUCACGCCAGUGGCGCGGCCGGUUGGCUACGUUCGGAAGGGAUAACCGCUGAAAGCAUCUAAGCGGGAAGCCUUCUCCAAGAUAAGGAUUCCAUGCGGCCCCGAGCCGCUGAAGACCCCAUGCAGAACACGUGGUCGAUAGGCCGGACGUGGAAGCCCCGCGAGGGGUGGAGCCGACCGGUACUAAUGGUCGAGAGGCA
rnacentral:rRNA from 1 species